rnacentral:rRNA from 1 species
AACGAACGCUGGCGGCAUGCCUAACACAUGCAAGUCGAACGAAGGCUUCGGCCUUAGUGGCGCACGGGUGCGUAACGCGUGGGAAUCUGCCCCUCGGUUCGGAAUAACUCAGAGAAAUUUGAGCUAAUACCGGAUAAUGACUUCGGUCCAAAGAUUUAUCGCCGAGGGAUGAGCCCGCGUAGGAUUAGCUAGUUGGUGGGGUAAAGGCCUACCAAGGCGACGAUCCUUAGCUGGUCUGAGAGGAUGAUCAGCCACACUGGGACUGAGACACGGCCCAGACUCCUACGGGAGGCAGCAGUGGGGAAUAUUGGACAAUGGGCGAAAGCCUGAUCCAGCAAUGCCGCGUGAGUGAUGAAGGCCUUAGGGUUGUAAAGCUCUUUUACCCGGGAUGAUAAUGACAGUACCGGGAGAAUAAGCUCCGGCUAACUCCGUG